rnacentral:lncRNA from 10 species
GGGGUUUCACCAUGUUGGCCAGGCUGGUCUUGAACUCCUGACCUCAGGUGAUGCACCUGCCUCGGCCUCUCAAAAUGCUGGGAUUACAGGUGUGAGCCACCACGCCCAGCCUCUGGGAUUCUUAGUAUACACAUCCAGAUUGCCUUUCGACAAUCACAUACCAGUUUUCAGUCCCACCAGCACCACAGAAAGAUUCCCAUUUUACUUGAGAAAGUUACAUUUUUUAGGGAAAGUUCAUGGGAGGGGCUGGAAAAGACCUAAGUAUUGGUCAUGUGCUAGAAACACCUAACUGAAUUAUUGAACAAGAGGGGUUGCAUUCUUAGCUUUUCAAAGAGGCAUGGGUGGGUGAGGCUGAAAAUCCCACUAUUGGAAAGAUUCAGAUGUGGAAGCGGCCACAGGACGGGAAUCUGCAGUCAGGAAGAGAAGUGUCAGCGUUCUCUCCCAGGAGCAUUUCUGUGCAGAGUCAAGGUCCCGGACAUCCAGUUACAAAAACAAGAGUGCAGAAGCAGCCAGCAGCCUCCCGUGACCUUGAAUCAGAAGGAAAGCGGGAAACAGUGUACACCGGAGGCGCCCAGUAACGGACAUUUACGUUGCUCUGAUUCUCUGCCAUCCCAAGCAGCACCAUGAGGAACAGCGCUAUGCAGGACCUUCUGCGGAUGCACCUGUGCCAGUCUGUCUGGCUGGGGCCUGCACACUCCGAGAAAGGACUGUGCACUCUGAGGAAGGACUGCGCAGUCUGAGGAAGGGCUGAGCACUCUUGUGGAAGUACCGCCCACUCUGAGGAAGGACCGUGCACUCUGAGGAAGGACUGCGCAGUCUGAGGAAAGGCUGCGCACUCUCGUGGAAGUACCGCCCACUCUGAGGAAGGACUGCUAGGUUGUCUCUCUGGAAAGUUUUCUGUUGCCCAUGCGGAGAAUAUUCAAGUUUUGUUUCGGCCUUCCAGAAUUUCCCUCCUGUUUGGGGGGGAUCAUCCUCCACUCCGUUAUACAGCCUCGGAGGCAGACACCACUCGUCAUCGGAUGUCAAACCAAAGCUCCCCCAGGCUUAGCAGUCACUUCCUGAAAGUCUGCAGCAGACGACACGGCUUCUCCCAGCCCGUCUUCUUCCCCACACGGUGGGCAUGGUAACGUCCUUAACAUGCACCUGUCAGUGUGAAAGCAGCAGGCUGAGAUCACACACCAAGUUCCCUAGAGUCGGGGUUUCAGCAUGUUAGCCGAGCUGGUCUUGAACUCCUGAGCUCAAGUGAUCCACCCACCCGAGCCUCCUAAAGUGUUGCGAUUACAGAGGCUACAGAUUUCCUCUCUGGAGAGAAGGAACCGGGGUUGCUCGCUGAGCUGACAAGAGGUGGCAUCCUGGAAAGAUGCAGCUGGCCAAAGCCUGCCCUCCAUACGGAGUCCCCCCCUCGGCCAAUGGCUCCAGCUAAAGGUGAGAGAAUUCCUUGCGUGGCAGAAUGGGCCACCCAAGACCUACCAACACUGACACUCAGGACCCCAGUCAAACAGAGUGGCCUUAGCAAGGGAGGUGGGUGCCAUUAUCAUCACUUGCGGAUGUGGAACUCAUGCCCAGAGGGUAUGACCAACCUGUAGGUUCCCAGCCAGGAAGCUGAAGGGCUCAGAUGCGAACCUGACUCAGUGUGGCACUCGGCAGGUCCCUUCCAGGAGCCUCAUCCCUGCCUCCGUAGGAUGGAGGUGGGGACAGCCCUCCUGAGGACACAUUUCCUGCACUGCCUCCCACAGCUGUGCCCAGACUCCCAGAGCCUCUCUCAUGCCAAGAGAGUCUGUGGUGGGAGCCAAGACAGCUGACCCCAGAAGCCCCGGGCACCCCAGACGCUCGGCCCUGGGAGGGUGGCUGUGCCGGACAGACUCCAGACAGAGCUCAGACUCCGGGUCUACACACAGUGACUUUAUUACUCUAUGGAUGCUGGUGAACUGCCCUCCCCAACCAGCUUCACGGGGGCAGGCAUCUCUGUCCAUCCCAUGCC